GCUACUGAUUUGUGUAGAUUAAUUUUGUAUUCUGAAAUUUUGUCUGAUUGCUCUGGCUAGGAUUUCCAGUACUAUGUUCUAUAGAAGUGGUAAGAAUGGACAUUCUUGUCUUGUCCCAGUUCUUAGGGGGAAUGCUUUCAACUUUUCCCCAUUCAGUAUUAUAUUGGCUGUGGGUUUGUCAUAGAUGGCUUUUAUUACAUUAAGUUAUGUCCCUUUUAUGUCGAUUUUGCUGAGGAGUACUCGAUAUAAUUUCAGUUUUCUUAAAUGUAUUGAGACUUAUUUUGU
rnacentral:lncRNA from 1 species